rnacentral:rRNA from 1 species
AGAGUUUGAUCCUGGCUCAGGACUAACGCUGGCGGCGUGCCUAACACAUGCAAGUCGAACGGGGUAGCAAUACCCAGUGGCAGACGGGUGAGUAAUACAUCGGAACAUGUCCAGUAGUGGGGGAUAGCCCGGCGAAAGCCGGAUUAAUACCGCAUACGAUCUACGGAUGAAAGCGGGGGAUCUUCGGACCUCGCGCUAUA